GACUGGGAUAACUCUGGGAAACUGGGGAUAAUACUGGAUAUUAGGCUAUGCCUGGAAUGGUUUGCCUUUGAAAUGUUUUUUCGCCUAAGGAUAGGUCUGCGGCUGAUUAGGUCGUUGGUGGGGUAAUGGCCCACCAAGCCGAUGAUCGGUACGGGUUGUGAGAGCAAGGGCCCGGAGAUGGAACCUGAGACAAGGUUCCAGACCCUACGGGGUGCAGCAGGCGCGAAACCUCCGCAAUGUACGAAAGUGCGACGGGGGGAUCCCAAGUGCCAUUCUUAACGGGAUGGCUUUUCAUUAGUGUAAAGAGCUUUUGGAAUAAGAGCUGGGCAAGACCGGUGCCAGCCGCCGCGGUAACACCGGCAGCUCGAGUGGUAGCUGUUUUUAUUGGGCCUAAAGCGUUCGUAGCCGGUUUGAUAAGUCUUUGGUGAAAGCUUGUAGCUUAACUAUAAGAAUUGCUGGAGAUACUAUUAGACUUGAAGUCGGGUGAGGUUAGAGGUACUACCGGGGUAGGGGUGAAAUCCUAUAAUCCUGGGAGGACCACCUGUGGCGAAGGCGUCUAACUGGAACGAUCUUGACGGUGAGUAACGAAAGCCAGGGGCGCGAACCGGAUUAGAUACCCGGGUAGUCCUGGCCGUAAACGAUGUGGACUUGGUGUUGGAAUGGCUUUGAGUUGUUCCGGUGCCGAAGGGAAGCUGUUAAGUCCACCGCCUGGGAAGUACGGUCGCAAGACUGAAACUUAA
rnacentral:rRNA from 1 species